UGUGUUAGAAUAGGGGCAAUAA
rnacentral:miRNA from 1 species